GACCACUGCUCUAGAGCCUCCAUUAGCAGCUGCCAUAGGUCACCGUUUCUUUUGGCCUGCCAGAAAUCUCAAUUUUCAUCACAGUAUCGUCAUUUCGAUGGAGCUCCUCCAUCCUGCGGAUCUUUGAUAGGAGUGUCACUUUGGAAACAUGCUGACUGUUGGUAUUUUUCCUGUAGAGAGUCCCCAAGCUGUGAAUUUUGGGAAAAGAUGUCUCUCCUGUCAUGUGAGGGUGUGGGACCUGGCUUGGAUAACUGUUUCCUCUGAGGGAUCCCAGCAUGCACCUGCUCCUGGGCGUAGCAUCGCUGCAGGCAGCAGACACUCAUUCCCCCCGAGGGCACCGCGACACGGAGCGAAACCUUCCCGCUCGCUGAGGAUAGGGAACGGAAGGCGUGUCUGAAACAAUGCUGUCUCCUUCCGAACAUGGGAAAAUAAAAAACCCUCUCCUGAUGGGUGGAUCUGGGUGUAGAAAGAGGAGCAAAGAAAAGAAUAAACAGGAGAAAAAUAAGCCAUUGGAAUCAGGCUCCAGUGCAACAGCCCCAUUCGACUCUGCUAGCAGCAGGCCUGAGUGUGUG